GAUGAAGAACGUAGCGAAAUGCGAUAAGUAAUGUGAAUUGCAGAAUUCAGUGAAUCAUCGAAUCUUUGAACGCACAUUGCGCCCGCCAGUAUUCUGGCGGGCAUGCCUGUUCGAGCGUCAUUUCAACCGUCAAGCCCUGCUUGCGUUGGGGUCCUGCGGCUGCCCGCAGGCCCUGAAAACCAGUGGCGGGCUCGCUAGUCACACCGAGCGCAGUAGUACAUCUCGCUUUGGGCGUGCGGCGGGUUCUUGCCGUUAAACAUCCCCUUUUUACCAAGGUUGACCUCGGAUCAGGUAGGAAUACCCGCUGAACUUAAGCAUAUCAAUAAGCGGAGGA
rnacentral:misc_RNA from 1 species